rnacentral:lncRNA from 1 species
CUCGAGUGGAUUUCCACGCGGAAAGGAUGUUGGCGGUCCCGGUGACCUGCGGAGACACGGUUGGAGCCACCUUUCUGCUGAGCAGUGAUUUCAGAAGUGUUCUGAGGUCCCGUGGAAGAUCUGCCUCUCUCCAGCCGUGGGUUCUCUGCAUUCUCGAGCAUCUCAGGGUCCAGAAGAAAAAGAAGAAAGCCUGCCAGUUCUGGGAGCAGUUUGGAUGAAGAGAGGUAGUGUCUUGUUUUGUGUUCUGCUUGAUUCCUGAACUCGACUCCCACGAGCCAGUUAAGGCAGAGCCAGAAGAAAUGGUGUCUUGGCGACCCAAGAGACACAUAUUUGCUUGCUCAUAUGCUGUUGUGAGAAUGAUGGCACUUGCUCAACACGGAGUACAAAGACACUGUUAAGGGAGUCCCUGCCAGUCUCUGAACAGGGCAGGUACACCAGGGGCCA